ensembl:lncRNA LINC02624 long intergenic non-protein coding RNA 2624
GGGUGUACCUGAAAAAGAGAAGAGAAAGGAGCAGAAAAAAAUAUUUUAAGAAUAAUGAGUGAAAACUAAAAAUUGAUGAAAAAAUGAUCUGCACAUCAAAGAAGCCCAUUGAACCCCAAGUAGGAUGAAUGCAAAAAGAUCUACCCAGGUAUAUCAGAGUAAGAAUGCUGAAAUCUAAAGACAGAAAAUACUGCAAGCAGCAAGUGGAAAAUGACUUUGCUUGGACACAGGAAACUUAGUGAGAUUAAGAUCUUCUCAUCAGGAAUAAUGGCGACCAGGAAAGAGUGGGGUGACAUAUUCAAAGUACUGAAAGAAGAAAUAAAAAACAAAAAAAAGCUGUCAACCAAGAAUUAUACAUCCAGCAAAACUAUCUGUAAAAAUGAAGAUGAAAUAAAUAUAUUCUCAGAUAACAGAAGCACUGAGAAAAUAUAUUCUUAGCAGACUCAUCUUACAAAAAUACUUAGAAAUUUCGUCAGGCUGAAAAUCCAAGCAAAGUCUAUGUUGCCUUCACCAGUGUUCAGAUACACCUGGCUGCUUUCUGAAAAGAUGGAGACCAUUUUUACCCAACAGCAUCAGCUCAGAUUCUUGUGAUUAUAACACAGCAUGAUUGCUGCUUCAUGCCUUCUGCCAUGUGAGGACACAGUGAGAAGAUGGACAACUAUGAA